UGGUCGAGUGAUCCUGCGCCGAAGAUUUCCGGGGCUAAAACUUACUACCGAAGCUACGGCAUCAGUAAUGAUGGGGAGGGGAGCUUCCCAUACGGGUUGAAGCAUGACCGUAAGGACAUGUGGACAGUAUGGGAGUGAGAAUGUUGGCAUGAGUAGCGAGAUGUGGGUGAGAAUCCCACAGGCCGUAAACCCAAGGUUUCCAG
rnacentral:rRNA from 1 species